CCUACGGGUGGCAGCAGUGAGGAAUAUUGGUCAAUGGGCGCGAGUCUGAACCAGCCAAGUCGCGUGAGGGAAGACGGUCCUAUGGAUUGUAAACCUCUUUUGUCGGGGAGCAAAAGACGCCACGCGUGGCGUUCCGAGAGUACCCGAAGAAAAAGCAUCGGCUCACUCCGUGCCAGCAGCCGCGGUAAUACGGAGGAUGCGAGCGUUAUCCGGAUUUAUUGGGCGUAAAGCGCUCGUAGGCGGUAUGUCAAGUCAAGGGUGAAAUCCCCGCGCUCAACGUGGGAACUGCCUUUGAAACUGGCAAACUGGAGUGUGGGAGAGGAUAGUGGAAGUCCAGGUGUAGGAGUGAAAUCCGUAGAUAUCUGGAGGAACAUCAGUGGCGAAGGCGACUAUCUGGCACAUAACUGACGCUGAGGAGCGAAAGCGUGGGUAGCAAACAGGAUUAGAUACCCUUGUAGUC
rnacentral:rRNA from 1 species